rnacentral:rRNA from 1 species
GAGUUUGAUCUUGGCUCAGGAUGAACGCUAGCGGCAGGCCUAAUACAUGCAAGUCGAGGGGCAGCAGGGAUAGCGAAUAUUCGCUGGCGACCGGCGCACGGGUGCGUAACACGUAUACAAUCCUGCCGUUUAACAGGGGGAUAGGACCCCGGAGAAAUCCGGAUUAAUACCCCAUAACCAGAUCGAAUGGCAUCAUUUAGAUUUUGAAAGCUCCGGCGGUUUAAAGAGUGAGUAUGCGUCUGAUUAGCUAGUUGGUGAGGUAACGGCUCACCAAGGCGACGAUCAGUAGGGGAUCUGAGAGGAUU